AUACGAUAAAGGCAAACUUGCUGAAAGGCAAGGACGCAAAGCAAUGGACCUAAAGAUAUUUCUAUGGUCGCCAUGCCACCGAA
rnacentral:ncRNA from 1 species